UAUCUCCAGCACUCAUGCCCAUUCAUCCCUGGGUGGGGAUUUGUUGCAUUACUUGUGUUCUAUAUAAAGUAUUGCACUUGUCCCGGCCUGUGGAAGAAAGGAGGAUUUUUAUCGUCUUCUU
rnacentral:pre_miRNA from 1 species